rnacentral:lncRNA from 1 species
CCAACGAAGUGUUGAACAAGACUAACAAAAUUUCAGCUCAAAAGAUAAAAACCAAUCAUAACUGGCAUCAUUAACGCCAUAUCUCAUGUCAUUCAUGCAUCACAGCAUCCUUAUUGUCAAAAUAAUUCCGACAAGUAUAGGAAUUGAUCAAAUUCACUAAGAUAACAAUAACCAAUUCCUCUAGAUAACAUUACCAGCUUUUAAUUGUUAUUUCUUAGCUUGUGAUGUAACGGUGAGCUUGGUAAGUACAAAGCAGUCUGGGAGGGUCAAUGUUUGUGUAAUACUUCUUAAUUGUCUCUGUGAUUUCAAAUCCAAAUUUCUUAUAGAAGUUGAU